rnacentral:lncRNA from 1 species
GGAGAGUGGGCUGGGGAGGGGAGCGCCAGCAAUUAAAUACGGCACCGGAAGUGACGCAUUACGUCCGUCACAUUUCAUUAGCCAAAGCAAGUCACGUAGCCAAGCCUGUUCUCGGGAGAGGAGGAAGUGAAUCCUCCAGCCGCCUGAAAGUGGCGGGAGUCUGAUGUAGGUGAAGAGUGAUCAUGCCCGGCACACGCUGCACAACUGAGAUCACAUCGUGUAUAGGGGUGCGGCUGUUGCUUUUGUCUCUUACUAUUACAUCAUGAAAUAGCCUGAAAACGUGGUGAACAGGCAGAUUUAAUAGAAGGGUUUAGUGGCACGGUGACAUGAUUUCCCUCUUCCUUUUUCUCUUCCUCCUCUUGUUCUUCUAACGUAGGGAACUGUGUGCAGGUAGCGGAGGUCCAGGGCCCAGGUCGUUGCAUGCCAUCGCUCCGAAACGCCUCCCCUCCCCCUCCAGGCCGACACGGGACAGGCAGGUCCUGUCGUUCCUUCUUGGGAGAGCUUGGCAGUUCCGUGGUGUUGUUCCCUCCAGAAGUAACACGUCUGGAAGUGAGGCCAUGAGAACCUGCUGAACAACUGCCGGCUUCACAACUGCACAUGUGGGGUGCGGCUGCACGCGGCUCUGCUGGGGCCGCCUUGCGCAGACAGUCAGCCGGUGGUGUGAACGUGCAGUGUUAAAAGUGACACCAGAGUGGUGGAGGCGUCACCGUCAGCUGUUGCAUGAGAUGACACCCGGCCUGCAGGGUUGGGUGAGAGCUCAGGAGCCGCAGCCCCUCCUUGCCUGGGUCCCAAGAUCCCGGCACCGGCGGGAAGGGGUCCAGGAAGAAGCGAGCACGUCCCAGAUGGAGAAAAAACUGAGACCCAGAGGGCCUACCCAGCUUCCCCUGGAGGCAGAGCUGCAACUGGAACUAAGAUCGUCCAGCCGGGUGCAUUCUGCAGGAAGACCUGUCUGCAUUUCUCUCACAGGCUAGGGAUGUAGGUGUAAGAGCUGACCUGUGUCCAGCAUCAGCUGGGGGCGGGACCAUGAUUCAGUGUAAAGUAAAACUCAAGAACAUUCACUCCCUUGGGUGCAAAAUAAAACAUCGCCUCGAGCUUUACAGUUUACAAAACACUCUCCUGUUAUUUAUCUCAUUUUCUCCUCACAACAACCCUGUGACAAACACAUUGUUACUACCCUUUUUCAGUUUAGGAAACUGAGGCACAGAGAGAGACUGCUCUGCGUUCAUAGAGCUCGUUAGGGAUAGGAUGGAGCCCAGGUGGGCUGAUCCCACUUCCAGGCAUUCUUCUAUCCCACAAGCGAUCCAAAUAUCGGCUCACUUGCUUGUUCUAUCCCGUUUCUUCUUCCGAA